GAGCUGCUCUGUGGGUGAGGGUGCUACAAUUCAGCUUUGAAGAUCACUGAGCCCAGUGAUCCAGUGUUGUGCUUGGAGGGGCUAUGACAGGUGCAUAUGCCCAGAAGGAAAUGCAGGGGGAGAAAGUCUACAGACUGAAAUAGGGAGGACAGUGGGCAAGUUGUGGAAGUUCUUCACACCUAAAACAUUGCUGAGAAAGACACUGGAAGUGCCAGAAACGUGUACGUGCACCAUGGGUGUGUUCCGGUGAUGCAGACCAACAAGUCAUGGUAUUGAAGAAUAGGCUUGAACAGAAACUUCAGACAUCUGUGGGUUUGGUUGAAGUACAACUCUGCCUUACAUACAAGAGCAUCACUCUUGUACAAUCCCACUACUCAGGUUACUCAUGAGGAUCUGGAUUUAGCUGCCCUGCCCUGAUUGCAGUUUUCAGUUCUGACAUGGGGUGGCUCCUUUUACAGCUGCCUGUGAACAGUCAGGCAGCUGCAAUGUCUUUGUCCUUAUGUUCCUGUAUUUGGGAUCACUUGCUUGUGCAGGGUACAAAUGAUGUAACUUCCAUUCCUGGGCAGUCAGUCUUGUAAAAGAUGAAAAAACCUGAAUAAUUUGUGUGUAGACAUCACAGCUGUUCAGAGUCACAGAAAAGGCAAAGGUUCCAUGAAGCUGGGUCGGCUGUAUGAAUACAGGCAGAGCUCUCCAGUUGUUUCCCUGUGGCUGAUGCUGUCACAGGCUGAGCUAUGGACUCACUGCUGCAGCUCUAAACCAAACCAAAGGAGCCAGUCAAUGGAUGUGCCCAUGGUGGGCAGUCAGGAAGCUGUACGUGUGGUUGCCUUGUGCAUAAGGAAUUCUCCUGAUAAAAUCCUGCACUGAGCCCUUCGUUUCAGUCAUGAGACUAUUAAUCUAAGAAAUCACUGAAGCCUGAAAAGCAAGACUAAAAAUGAAUCUGCAAGGAUUUUCAGAAGGAAAAUGAAGUUCUGGCUACUGGAACAUCCUGGUUCAGGUACAUCUUAACAAGAUUAUGUUGCUGAUGGAAUAAAAACCAAGAGUGCAGGAGGGUCUCCUUUUCAAUAAAUGUGAGUUCCUGGCCAGCUGUGGUCCCUGACAAAGCAAACUGUUUCAUGGCUGUUAGUUACACAGACCUUGGCAAAGCACAAGAUUCUCAGCCUACCUUGUUAUCCUGUAGCUGCAUUUUUCUCUUGCUCGUCAGCUGGUUGCUGCAGUUCCUUGUGAGACUGAUUCACUUUUCCUGGCCAGUUCAUAGCUCCCUGUGUCUGAGGAUUGGUGGGUGAGCAAAUGAGCUUUCUCAAUAAGGUUGCCUCCUAAGGAGUUUCCUGCUUUCCCCCUUUGUCAUCUGAAGAGUCUGCCCAGCAUUUCAUUGCAUAUCUUAAAAUAAAAAUACCAAAAUGCACAAGAUUCUAUCCCACAACAACUUUUGCUUAUUGCUCAGAGAGAACCAAACAUCAGCCUUUACUGUUGGUAUGAAUAUAUGAACGGAUUCGAAGGUUUUAGGACUCAUUCUGUGGCCUGUGAUGCUCAGUUGACUGUGGAGCAGAUAUUCACCCAGACCUUCAGGAUUAACAAUCUUAUCAUCUCAUGGUGAUGUAAAAAUCUUCCUCUCCUACCUAGAUAUUCUAAUUUCAUUAAAUAACCCUACAAGUCAGCUUACAUGGUAUCCAUUAUUAACUUCAAACCUCCUUCUUUCUUCAUCAGCUCAGUUGUUUUAAUUCAUACCCCUAAUCUGCCACUUCAUUUAAACACCACAUUCUGUUCUCCAGUGAACAUUGCAGCCAUCCUGCAAGUAGGCCUGACAGUGAUCUUGCAAGAGGUAUCAUUAAUAUUUUAAUUAUGUAUUCACUACUCAGAAAGGUGCCACCAUGUAUAUGAGGAAAUCACAAAACAAUCACAAUUAUAUUCUUCCUUUUAACCACGGGGUGUCACCUGAAUGUGCCACCUUAAGCCUGCAUUAGUGAAAAUGUUGAGUGCAAACAGGAGAUGGAAGGUUUGGAUGGAGUCAGAGGAUUUUGAUGGCAGAAGCCUCUUGUACAUUCUAAACUGAUGUCUCACUUAAUUUAGUAUAGAUUUUGUCCAGCAGUUCCUGGCCUAAACACUGCUUUCUACUGGGUGAGGAAGCUAGCAGUCAUCCACUGCUGGAAUUUAAAUGCUUAUGGUAGCACUUUAAAUCUAGCACCUAAAGUCCCCAUUUCUUUUAUUUCUCUUGUUCAUAUGUAUGAGAAGUCCAUUUCUCCAGGUGCAGAUAAAUGCAGGAAUCAGGUGUAUAAAAGUAGAAAAGCAUUAGAUUUGGCUUCCUAUAUUUAAUUCCAACUGCAUAACAUCAGGGAAUUAUGCUGCAGGAUGAUUGGGAUCUGUGCAAACCAAGGGUGCGUCACAGAAAAACUAUGUGAAUUUUUGUCUUCUUGAAUGAAAUGAAAUUGAGUUUCAGUUUCUCUAUCUUGCAAGGUGGUAUUGCACUGGGUGUACUUUUUUUUUUUUUUUUUUCCCCCUUGUUGCUAACAGGGUAAAUUUAAAUAUGAUUAAUUAAUCAUAUAAUUUCUAUCCAGGACACUGCAUAUUAAUAUAUUAGAAUGAACUAAAUUCAGGGGGAAGAUGUGAAGUUGUGAUUUUUCCUGCACCUACAUCUGAAUGGCUGGACUGACAGCUAGAUAGGAAUCUUUGCUGCAUCCCAACUUGGAGAAUUUCUUGGUGUCUUUCCCAGAAAGAAUCACAGAACAUGAUGCACAUUGGAUCAAUCCCUGUGUAUGCCUGAUACCUCCAGUUCCGUUGAGGUUUUUGGUGCUAACACUAAUCUAGAGUACCUUGAGGCAAAUAUGCAAAGCAGGACUUUGAAAUGUAGAUAUUAGGAACAGUUUAGUUAGGUAAAAAAUUGCUCAUGGGAGCAAUUAAGUAGAUUGGGAAAUUAAUCCAUUAAUAGUAAAAAAAACUUCGAAGGAAUAAAAAAUGAAAACCACCAUGACUUUUUUUCUAACCUGUAACAAAUCUACUAAUUGCUUCAGCAAAACAUUACUUUGAAUGUGCCUCCAAAUGAACAGAAAGAGUCGUAUAGGAAACAUCAUUUGGAAAGAGUAGGCAUGCAGUUAUGGGAAGUGUGCAUUGCCCAGCACAAUUUAAUUUCCCCAGAGCGAUUCCAGGUGAGGCUGCUCCUGAGCAUUUGCAGCUGGGGCAGGACCUUCAGGGACUCAUUCCCAGGCCCCUGGCUUCUGAUGCAAAAUACUCAAGACACUUGAUCUGAGACACACUUAAAUCAAGGAGGAGCUCUCCAUAUGAAGUCUAUCAAAUCCCACCUGAUUUAUAUUAAAUGCUUAUUUGGCAUGUUUUCUCAUUUUACCCAAAAGCUAUUUCUGGGUGAUAGCCAGGCAGGAAGGCAGGUUCUGUAGAACACUGAAUAAAGAUGAGGGCAUCAGGCAGAGGCUCCGCAUCGAGCAAAUGCAUUCGGGCAGAAUUCUCAAUAAAUCAGUAUGGGGGUCAAUGGGGAAAGUUUUGUGUACAGAGCUUCUGUAUCAGCUGCUUGACAUCCUUAGUCUGCACAGACCUUUAUUCAUGGUUAGGACAAAAUAACACUGAGUUUGAACAUUACUGCUAACAUAGACAUUAAAACAUGCAUAUGGUCUGAUGGAGCCAAAGACUGCUGCUUGUCUCUCUGCAUCCUCAGUACUGCAGGGUUUGUGUAUAAAAUAAGUGAGAGGUUGCACUGAUACUGAAUUCUGUGAUGUGGUAGCCGUGUUAUUAAGGAUGAAAGCCAUCAGAGGCUGCCAGAUUGGGACAAGAAAUAAGGCAUGCGGCUUUCUUAGAGUCUUUGUUUCUCCUCCAUUAUAGUUGCAGGACAUAGGUCAUAAAAUGCUUUAGGAGCUGGCAAUCUAAAUUCUGGAGAUGUGCAAAACCAGGGUUUCUUUCAGGGGAAGCUUUAGAAAUUUUGAAGUCUGGUCACAAUGGUGAGUGGGACAAAAUGCUAGCAUUUCAGAAUUCUUUACAAAGAAAAGAUGUUUGGUAUUUUAAACACUAAAUCACUUCAUUUUUACAGUGACAUGUUUUAACUAUUGUUCUGCUUUCUCCUGAAACAAAAGAUAAAAACCCAUGCAUUCUCACAGUUUUGACUUGAAUAGAUUGGCAUAUUCAGAUAAAACAUGCUUCCAAUGCUGUUUUUCUAACAAGCCAUAUGAAUUGACGUUUCAAUUUCAGAGGGUUUCACCCUCUCCAAUGACAUCACGCAUGUCUAAGGACGAAUGUGAUUUUAUACAUCAUGACAUUUUCCUGCCAUGGGCUUGGGGCCCAGUUUUCCUAUGGUGAGAUCAGAGUCAGUUUUCCGUGGUGAAGGCCUGGCAAGUGUGCCAAGCUGGGUUUUCCAGAGGGGGCAGAACCUCAUCCCCAGAGGGAGGUGGGUAAUCCCACAGGGUGUCAGACCCAAGAGCCAUGGAAAGACUGCAGUGGCCUUGGACCACAUGUGUGGAAGUGUGACAUCUGUGUCUGCAUUUCUUCAUGGGAUUUCAGGCCAGUCUUGAUGUGAAUUCCAGCCCAAGGCACCCAGCAGCAGAGGGGCUGAUUUGGCUCCCAGCCUUUCCUUUCUCUGAUUCUUGCACAGAGCUAUGUGUAUCUUUGGCUCUGGUCUCCAGUCCCCUUAGAGCAGGCAGCAGCCAGCUGGAAGCACAAGGAGAAACUAUAAUAGAACUCAACUAGCAGGAUUUUAUGUUGUUAUUAAACAGCUGUCCAAAUAUCAUGUCAGAGUUGCUUAGAAGAAUUCUUUCUCAGGUUAUAAUGUACAUUUCUCAAGCAGGAUGAUAAUCUCACAUCUUUAUGUGAGGCUAGCUUUAUUAUGAAAUAGUUUAAUUCUUUAUACUUGAGAAGGAUUUGUAUGGCUGCGAAUGGCAAGUGAAUUUGGGUCAUUGUGUGGCUUGUGAUGCUUUGUUUGGUAAAUAUUGGCACAAAAGUUCUAAGUCCUGUAAAAAGUUUACUUCGUACCACUGCAAAAUGUUAAUUGUCUUUUA